GUAACGGCCCACCAUGCCGAUAAUCGGUACGGGUUGUGAGAGCAAGAGCCCGGAGACGGACUCUGAGACAAGAGUCCGGGCCCUACGGGGCGCAGCAGGCGCGAAACCUUUACACUGCACGCAAGUGCGAUAGGGGGACACCGAGUGCGAGGGCAUAGAGCCCUCGCUUUUCUGUACCGUAAGGCGGUACAGGAACAAGGGCUGGGCAAGACCGGUGCCAGCCGCCGCGGUAACACCGGCAGCCCAAGUGAUGGCCGAUCUUAUUGGGCCUAAAGCGUCCGUAGCUUGCCGAGUAAGUUCGUCGGGAAAUCUACUGGCUUAACCAGUAGGCGUCCGGCGAAAACUGCUCGGCUUGGGACCGGGAGACCAGAGGGGUACGUCCGGGGUAGGAGUGAAAUCCUGUAAUCCUGGACGGACCACCGGUGGCGAAAGCGCCUCUGGAGAACGGAUCCGACAGUGAGGGACGAAAGCUAGGGUCUCGAACCGGAUUAGAUACCCGGGUAGUCCUAGCUGUAAACGAUGCUCGCUAGGUGUGGCGCAGGCUACGAGCCCGCGCUGUGCCGUAGGGAAGCCGUGAAGCGAGCCGCCUGGGAAGUACGUCUGCAAGGAUGAAACUUAAAGGAAUUGGCGGGGGAGCACUACAACCGGAGGAGCCUGCGGUUUAAUUGGACUCAACGCCGGACAUCUCACCAGCUCCGACAGCAGUAAUGACGAUCAGGUUGAUGACCUUAUUCGACGCUGCUGAGAGGAGGUGCAUGGCCGCCGUCAGCUCGUACCGUGAGGCGUCCUGUUAAGUCAGGCAACGAGCGAGACCCACCCA
rnacentral:rRNA from 1 species